CGCGUAGGCGGCCUGCUAAGUCUGGAGUGAAAGUCCUGCUUCCAAGGUGGGAAGUGCUUUGGAUACUGGUGGGCUGGAGUGCAGGAGAGGAAAGCGGAAUUACCGGUGUAGCGGUGAAAUGCGUAGAGAUCGGUAGGAACACCAGUGGCGAAGGCGGCUUUCUGGACUGAAACUGACGCUGAGGCGCGAAAGCGUGGGGAGCGAACG
rnacentral:rRNA from 1 species